rnacentral:rRNA from 1 species
CCCCGGUAGUCCACGCUGUAAACGAUGUCUACUAGCCGUUGGAGGACUUGAUCCUUUAGUGGCGCAGCUAACGCGAUAAGUAGACCGCCUGGGGAGUACGGUCGCAAGAUUAAAACUCAAAUGAAUUGACGGGGGCCCGCACAAGCGGUGGAGCAUGUGGUUUAAUUCGAAGCAACGCGAAGAACCUUACCUACUCUUGACAUCCAGUGAACUUUUGAGAGAUCAAUUGGUGCCUUCGGGAACACUGAGACAGGUGCUGCAUGGCUGUCGUCAGCUCGUGUUGUGAAAUGUUGGGUUAAGUCCCGUAACGAGCGCAACCCUUGUCCUUAGUUACCAUCAUUAAGUUGGGGACUCUAAGGAGACUGCCGGUGACAAACCGGAGGAAGGCGGGGACGACGUCAAGUCAUCAUGGCCCUUACGAGUAGGGCUACACACGUGCUACAAUGGCAUGUACAAAGGGUUGCCAAGCCGCGAGGUGGAGCUAAUCCCAUAAAGCAUGUCGUAGUCCGGAUUGGAGUCUGCAACUCGACUCCAUGAAGUCGGAAUCGCUAGUAAUCGUGAAUCAGAAUGUCACGGUGAAUACGUUCCC